UAAAUAUGCAAACAUUUCAGAACAGUGUCCUGGAUUAUAAACUAAAUAAAAAGUUGCCUUUAAGGCUUGCUUUAACACAGGCAACUCAGAACAGAUGAGUCAGUGCUGGAAAAUUGCAGAUUAUUCUCUCAUUCAUCCCAUCCAGUGGAAAACAAGGGAUAUAAACUUUUUCCUAGUCAUCUGCUGACAUGUGAGUAACAUGGUUUGAUACCUGGACAGGCAAUCCUCAGCUUAGCUGCCUCAGUUGCUGAAGUAUCCAUUUUAAUCAGAAUUGCACAGCACCCUCUUCUGCUGAGAGGAGCUGAGCCGUGGAUCUCCCUGGGCUGGCUCUUUUCCUGUCUCUGAUGGGCAUUUAUACACUGAAGAGCAAGAUCCUCUCUCCUUGGUCCCUUUAUAAAGAGGAAUUAGAAUAAAAGAGUGGAUUUAAGAGGAAAGCACCCCUCCAGUUAAUUGAGAUUUUUCAUACAGAAUGCUGAGGAAUGAUUUGAAAGUGACAGCAAGACUGUUGCAGGUUUUUAAUCCUGAGUCCAACAUUGAUUUCAUUGUGGUAAUCUGGCCAAGAUAACCAUUCUGCCUCAUUUUCCCUACACAGAAACCUCACAAGGUGCUGAAGUGAAUUUGUGCAUCCACUCUAAGCAGCACCUGUGGUGCAGAGUAGUUAUUUCUGUGGCUCCUUGAUGUUCUUUGUGUGUAUCCUGCAAAACUGUUGGAGAGAGCUCAGUAAAUGAAUGGUUACUUGUCAUCCAGCCUUGGGAAUGGCUCCAUCAGUUCUCCGAAGUGCCAGUUUAUUACUCAUUUUACUGAGCUACGAGGCAUUAAUAAAACAUGAAGGCUGAAGCUGA